GACGUAGGGGACGAGCGUUGUCCGGAUUCAUUGGGCGUAAAGAGCUCGUAGGCGGUUUGUCGCGUCUGCUGUGAAAACUCGGGGCUUAACCCCGGGCCUGCAGUGGGUACGGGCAGACUAGAGUGCGGUAGGGGAGACUGGAAUUCCCGGUGUAGCGGUGAAAUGCGCAGAUAUCAGGAGGAACACCGGUGGCGAAGGCGGGUCUCUGGGCCGUAACUGACGCUGAGGAGCGAAAGCGUGGGGAGCAAACAGG
rnacentral:rRNA from 1 species